GAUCUCUCUCCGGUCGCGCACGCCGAGGCCAUUAGGGAGAGAAGAUGGUGGUUCUCCGCAGCAGCUUGGAGCUGCACAACCACUCCGCGGCCUCGGCCACAGACUCCUUGGACCUGUCCAGUGACUUCCUCAGUCUGGAGCAGAUCGGCCGGAGGCGGCUCCGCUCGGCCGGCGCGGCGCAGAAGAAACCCGCGGCGACCACAGCCAAAGCGGGCGAUGGGUCAUCAGUUAAGGAAGUUGAAACCUACCACCGGACACGUGCUUUAAGAUCUUUGAGAAAAGAUGCACAGAAUUCUUCAGAUUCUAGUUUUGAGAAGAAUGUGGAAAUAACGGAGCAACUUGCUAAUGGCAGGCAUUUUACAAGGCAGUUGGCCAGACAGCAGGCUGAUAAAAAAAAAGAAGAGCACAGAGAAGACAAAGUGAUUCCAGUUACUCGGUCAUUGAGGGCUAGAAACAUCGUUCAAAGUACAGAACACUUACAUGAAGAUAAUGGUGAUGUUGAAGUGCGUCGAAGUUGUAGGAUUAGAAGUCGUUAUAGUGGUGUAAACCAGUCCAUGCUGUUUGACAAACUUAUAACUAACACUGCUGAAGCUGUACUUCAAAAAAUGGAUGACAUGAAGAAGAUGCGUAGACAGCGAAUGAGAGAACUUGAAGACUUGGGAGUGUUUAAUGAAACAGAAGAAAACAAUCUUAAUAUGUACACAAGAGGAAAACAGAAAGAUAUUCAAAGAACUGAUGAAGAAACAACUGAUAAUCAAGAAGGCAGUGUGGAGUCAUCUGAAGAGGGUGAAGACCAAGAACAUGAAGAUGAUGGUGAAGAUGAAGAUGAAGAUGAUGAAGAUGAUGAUGAUGACGAUGAUGAUGAUGAUGAAGAUGAUGAUGAAGAUGAAGAAGAUGGAGAAGAAGAUAAUCAGAAGCGGUAUUAUCUUAGACAGAGAAAAGCUACUGUUUACUAUCAGGCUCCAUUGGAAAAACCUCGUCACCAGAGAAAGCCCAACAUAUUUUAUAGUGGCCCAGCUUCUCCUGCAAGACCAAGAUACCGAUUAUCUUCUGCAGGACCAAGAAGUCCUUACUGUAAACGAAUGAACAGGCGAAGGCAUGCAAUCCACAGUAGUGACUCGACUUCAUCUUCCUCCUCUGAAGAUGAACAGCACUUUGAGAGGCGGAGGAAAAGGAGUCGUAAUAGGGCUAUCAAUAGGUGCCUCCCACUAAAUUUUCGGAAAGAUGAAUUAAAAGGCAUUUAUAAAGAUCGAAUGAAAAUUGGAGCAAGCCUUGCCGAUGUUGAUCCAAUGCAACUAGAUUCUUCAGUACGAUUUGAUAGUGUUGGUGGCCUGUCUAAUCAUAUAGCAGCUCUAAAAGAAAUGGUGGUGUUUCCAUUACUUUAUCCAGAAGUCUUUGAAAAAUUUAAAAUUCAACCCCCAAGAGGUUGUUUGUUUUAUGGGCCACCUGGAACUGGAAAGACUCUGGUUGCCAGAGCACUUGCCAAUGAGUGCAGUCAAGGGGAUAAAAGAGUAGCAUUUUUCAUGAGGAAAGGUGCUGACUGUCUAAGUAAAUGGGUAGGAGAAUCUGAAAGACAGCUACGAUUGCUGUUUGAUCAGGCCUAUCAGAUGCGCCCAUCAAUUAUUUUUUUUGACGAAAUUGAUGGUCUGGCUCCAGUACGGUCAAGCAGGCAAGAUCAGAUUCACAGUUCUAUUGUUUCCACCCUGCUAGCUCUUAUGGAUGGAUUGGACAGCAGAGGGGAAAUUGUGGUCAUUGGUGCUACCAACAGACUAGAUUCUAUAGACCCUGCUUUACGAAGGCCUGGUCGCUUUGAUAGAGAAUUCCUCUUUAGCCUGCCUGAUAAAGAGGCUCGAAAAGAGAUUCUAAAGAUUCACACCAGGGAUUGGAAUCCCAAACCACUGGACACGUUUUUAGAAGAGCUAGCAGAAAACUGUGUUGGAUACUGUGGAGCAGAUAUUAAAUCAAUAUGUGCUGAAGCUGCUUUAUGUGCUUUACGACGACGCUACCCACAGAUCUAUACCACUAGUGAGAAACUGCAGUUGGAUCUCUCUUCAAUUAAUAUCUCAGCUAAGGAUUUCGAGGUAGCUAUGCAAAAGAUGAUACCAGCCUCCCAAAGAGCUGUGACAUCACCUGGGCAGGCACUGUCCACUGUUGUGAAACCACUCCUGCAAAACACUGUUGACAAGAUUUUAGAAGCCCUGCAGAGAGUAUUUCCACAUGCAGAAUUCAGAACAAAUAAAACAUUAGACUCAGAUAUUUCUUGUCCUCUGCUAGAAAGUGACUUGGCUUACAGUGAUGAUGAUGUUCCAUCAGUUUAUGAAAAUGGACUUUCUCAGAAAUCUUCUCAUAAGGCAAAAGACAAUUUUAAUUUUCUUCAUUUGAAUAGAAAUGCUUGUUACCAACCUAUGUCUUUUCGACCAAGAAUAUUGAUAGUAGGAGAACCAGGAUUUGGGCAAGGUUCUCACUUGGCACCAGCUGUCAUUCAUGCUUUGGAAAAGUUUACUGUAUAUACAUUAGACAUUCCUGUUCUUUUUGGAGUUAGUGCUACAUCCCCUGAAGAAACAUGUGCCCAGGUGAUUCGUGAAGCUAAGAGAACAGCACCAAGUAUAGUGUAUGUUCCUCAUAUCCACGUGUGGUGGGAAAUAGUUGGACCGACACUUAAAGCCACAUUUACCACAUUAUUACAGAAUAUUCCUUCAUUUGCUCCAGUUUUACUACUUGCAACUUCUGACAAACCCCAUUCUGCUUUGCCAGAAGAGGUAAUUUAUGUGGGGCGGUAUCAUUAUACUUUCAAAAAGAGUUGUUUGUACCACAAUAAUCAUAACUUAUUGAAAAAAUUCAAAUGCUGUAGAAGUGAAUAAAAGGAUAAGUUUUCUUAUCAAAGAUACCAUUGGUAACUAUUUGGUAUAUGUGCUCAUUGGGUAAGAUGGUAUAUGUAUAUGUGUAUGUAUAUAUUAAGGAUACAUAAAUUUUUUCUCUUGAAAAAUGGUAUUAUAUGCCGGGCGUAGUGGCUCACGCCUGUAAUCCCAGCACUUUGGGAGGCCGAGGCAGGUGGAUCAUGAGGUCAGGAGAUUGAGACCAUCCUGGCUAACAGGGUGAAACCCCGUCCCUACUAAAAAUACAAAAAAAA
rnacentral:sRNA from 1 species